rnacentral:rRNA from 1 species
UACGUAGGGUGCAAGCGUUAAUCGGAAUUACUGGGCGUAAAGCGUGCGCAGGCGGUUUUGUAAGUCUGACGUAAAAUCCCCGGGCUCAACCUGGGAAUUGCGUUGGAGACUGCAAGGCUGGAGUCUGGCAGAGGGGGGUAGAAUUCCACGUGUAGCAGUGAAAUGCGUAGAGAUGUGGAGGAACACCGAUGGCGAAGGCAGCCCCCUGGGUCAAGACUGACGCUCAUGCACGAAAGCGUGGGGAGCAAACAGG